AUUGAACGCUGGCGGCAGGCCUAACACAUGCAAGUCGAACGGUAACAGGAAACAGCUUGCUGUUUCGCUGACGAGUGGCGGACGGGUGAGUAAUGUCUGGGAAACUGCCUGAUGGAGGGGGAUAACUACUGGAAACGGUAGCUAAUACCGCAUAACGUCGCAAGCCCAAAGAGGGGGACCUUCGGGCCACUUGCCAUCGGAUGUGCCCAGAUGGGAUUAGCUAGUAGGUGGGGUAACGGUUCACCUAGGCGACGAUCCCUAGCUGGUCUGAGAGGAUGACCAGCCACACUGGAACUGAGACACGGUCCAGACUCCUACGGGAGGCAGCAGUGGGGAAUAUUGCACAAGGGGCGCAAGCCUGAUGCAGCCAUGCCGCGUGUAUGAAGAAGGCCUUCGGGUUUUAAAGUACUUUCAGCGGGGAGGAAGGGAGUAAAGUUAAUACCUUUACUCAUUGACGUUACCCGCAGAAGAAGCACCGGCUAACUCCGUG
rnacentral:rRNA from 1 species